GAGUUUGAUCAUGGCUCAGAGCGAACGCUGGCGGCGUGCUUAACACAUGCAAGUCGAACGCUCGUAGCAAUACGAGAGUGGCGGACGGGUGAGUAACGCGUGGGAAUCUACCUUACGGCGGGGAAUAACCUCGGGAAACUGAGGCUAAUACCGCAUACGCCCUACGGGGGAAAGGCUUCGGCCACCGUUUGAGGAGCCCGCGUCCGAUUAGCUAGUUGGUGAGGUAACGGCUCACCAAGGCGACGAUCGGUAGCUGGUCUGAGAGGAUGAUCAGCCACACUGGGACUGAGACACGGCCCAGACUCCUACGGGAGGCAGCAGUGGGGAAUAUUGGACAAUGGGGGAAACCCUGAUCCAGCGACGCCGCGUGGGUGAUGAAGGCCUUCGGUUGUAAGCCUUCGUCCUACGAUGAUGAUGACAGUAGUGGAAGAAGAAAGACUCCGGCUAACUUCGUGCCAGCAGCCGCCGCGGUAAC
rnacentral:rRNA from 1 species